CAGCAGCCGCGGUAAUACGUAGGGUGCGAGCGUUAAUCGGAAUUACUGAGCGUGAAGCGUGCGCAGGCGGUGAUGUAAGACAGAUGUGAAAUCCCCGGGCUCAACCUGGGAACUGCAUUAGUGACUGCAUCGCUGGAGUGCGGCAGAGGGGGAUGGAAUUCCGCGUGUAGCAGUGAAAUGCGUAGAUAUGCGGAGGAACACCGAUGGCGAAGGCAAUCCCCUGGGCCUGCACUGACGCUCAUGCACGAAAGCGUGGGGAGCAAACAGGAUUAGAUACCCCUGUAGUCCCUGUCUCUUAUAC
rnacentral:rRNA from 1 species